rnacentral:rRNA from 1 species
UACGAAGGGGGCUAGCGUUGCUCGGAAUCACUGGGCGUAAAGCGCACGUAGGCGGAUUGCUAAGUCAGGGGUGAAAUCCUGGAGCUCAACCCUGGAACUGCCUUUGAUACUGACGAUCUGGAGAUCGGGAGAGGUUGGUGGAAUUCCGAGUGUAGAGGUGAAAUUCGUAGAUAUUCGGAGGAACACCAGAAGCGAAGGCGGCCAACUGGCCCGAUACUGACGCUGAGGCGCGAAAGCGUGGGGAGCAAACAGG